rnacentral:rRNA from 1 species
GACGAACGCUGGCGGCGUGCUUAACACAUGCCAGUCGAACGGAAAGGCCUCUUUCGGGGGGUACUCGAGUGGCGAACGGGUGAGUAACACGUGAGUAACCUGCCCUUGACUUUGGGAUAACUUCAGGAAACUGGGGCUAAUACCGGAUAGGAGCUCCUGCUGCAUGGUGGGGGUUGGAAAGUUUCGGCGGUUGGGGAUGGACUCGCGGCUUAUCAGCUUGUUGGUGGGGUAGUGGCUUACCAAGGCUUUGACGGGUAGCCGGCCUGAGAGGGUGACCGGCCACAUUGGGACUGAGAUACGGCCCAGACUCCUACGGGAGGCAGCAGUGGGGAAUAUUGCACAAUGGGUGGAAGCCUGAUGCAGCAACGCCGUGUGCGGGAUGACGGCCUUCGGGUUGUAAACCGCUUUCGCUCAUGACGAAGCUCUGUGUGACGGUAGUGGGUAAAGAAGCACCGGCUAACUACGUG